rnacentral:tRNA from 2 species
AGCCGCUAUGGUGAAAUU